rnacentral:tRNA from 1 species
UGGAGUGUAGCUCAGCAGGCAGAGCAUGCGAAUCAUAAUCGUAAGGUAUGGGUUCAAUCCCCAUCUCUCCAA